rnacentral:rRNA from 1 species
UGCGCAGGCGGUUUGUUAAGACAGUUGUGAAAUCCCCGGGCUCAACCUGGGAACUGCAAUUGUGACUGGCAGGCUAGAGUUUGGCAGAGGGGGGUGGAAUUCCUGGUGUAGCAGUGAAAUGCGUAGAUAUCAGGAGGAACACCGAUGGCGAAGGCAGCCCCCUGGGCCAUGACUGACGCUCAUGCACGAAAGCGUGGGGAGCAAACA